ACGCAAUAGAUACCCAGGUAGUCCACGCCCUAAACGAUGUCUACUAGUUGUCGGGUCUUAAUUGACUUGGUAAACGCAGCUAAACGCGUGAAGUAGACCGCCUGGGGAGUACGGUCGCAAGAUUAAAACUCAAAGGAAUUGACGGGGACCCGCACAAGCGGUGGAUGAUGUGGAUUAAAUUCGAUGCAACGCGAAAAACCUUACCUACCCUUGACAUGGAUGGAAUCCCUGAGAGAUUGGGGAGUGCUCGAAAGAGAACCAUUACACAGGUGCUGCAUGGCUGUCGUCAGCUCGUGUCGUGAGAUGUUGGGUUAAAGUCCCGCAACGAGCGCAACCCUUGUCAUUAGUUGCUACGAAAGGGCACUCUAAUGAGACUGCCGGUGACAAACCGGAGGAAGGUGGGGAUGACGUCAAGUCCUCAUGGCCCUUAUGGGUAGGCUUCACACGUCAUACAAUGGUACAUACAGAGGGCCGCCAACCCGCGAGGGGAGCUAAUCCCAGAAAGUGUAUCGUAGUCCGGAUUGUAGUCUGCAACUCG
rnacentral:rRNA from 1 species